rnacentral:rRNA from 1 species
CAGCAGCCGCGGUAAUACGAAGGGUGCAAGCGUUACUCGGAAUUACUGGGCGUAAAGCGUGCGCAGGCGGUUGUGUAAGACAGGUGUGAAAUCCCCGGGCUUAACCUGGGAACUGCGCUUGUGACUGCACAGCUAGAGUAUGGCAGAGGGGGGUGGAAUUCCACGUGUAGCAGUGAAAUGCGUAGAGAUGUGGAGGAACACCGAUGGCGAAGGCAGCCCCCUGGGCCAAUACUGACGCUCAUGCACGAAAGCGUGGGGAGCAAACAGGAUUAGAUACCCGCGUAGUCCCUGUCUCUUAUAC